rnacentral:rRNA from 1 species
UACAGAGGGUGCGAGCGUUAAUCGGAAUUACUGGGCGUAAAGCGUGCGUAGACGGUUAUUUAAGUCGGGUGUGAAAUCCCCGGGCUCAACCUGGGAACUGCAUUUGUGACUGCAUCGCUGGAGUACGGCAGAGGGGGAUGGAAUUCCGCGUGUAGCAGUGAAAUGCGUAGAUAUGCGGAGGAACACCGAUGGCGAAGGCAAUCCCCUGGGCCUGUACUGACGCUCAUGCACGAAAGCGUGGGGAGCAAACAGG